CCCGAGGCCUGAGGAUCGAUUUCAACAUCCGAUAUCAAUGGUCGUACCCUAUUGCCAGUGUUCUCGAGAGUGACCGAUUUGCCAUCACUUGCAGCAUCCUUGAUGGAGAUGUUUCCCUUUGCGCUCCGUUGGUUGGGUGCCAAACGACGGAGGAACCUACCGGAAGAUUGUUGUCUCCUCAAUUGCCAAUAUCUGGUUUUGACUCAUAUUUGAAGUCCCCGGACCCCCGCCAAAAAGUGCCAGUUGCAACGGUUUUGCCCACUCGAGCGCUUCAGGACCGCUAUAAUUCAGGAAAGGGGGGGAGGCUGGCCUGGUUUAAGCACUUCAAGCAAAAGACGUAAUAAACGGGACACAGUGUUGUGAAAGAUGCCUACUGUUUGCUGAAGCUUGGGGUUAAACAAAUAUUAAGAAAUGGCUUAGAGAACAACUGACACUUUCAAGUCCCCAUUUCUGCCUGAGCAUUUAAAGGCUUACCACUAUGUUCAGCGGAGCUCAUGAAUCCCUCGAGCCACUUGAGGUGCGCUUCGCUACCAUGCUGUCUGGUCCAGUCAUACCACUUCUCAACAACAUUGCCAAGGCUGAAAUUAACGGAGAGAUCGCUAAUUCAUUGUACAAUAGCUAGGAACCAGACUUACAGCAUGAUCGCUUUUGUUACAACGGGAAGAUUGAUCAGAUGAUUUGCAACAACAAACGCUGCGGAGAACCCUCCGAGUUUGCCCCGGGAACUUUAACUCCGGACACCUCUAGCUGUGUUUCAAACUUCAAAUCGAAUUGGAUUUAUCAAUUGGAUUAACGAUGCAUCAGUAGCUAAAUAGCUGAUUUGACCAUAAUAGCAAUGCGAUGUAUUCAAAUCAGAACAGUCUAUU